rnacentral:rRNA from 1 species
UCCCAUUCCGAACACAGAAGUUAAGCUUGGUUGUGCCGAAGAUACUUGGUUGGAGACGACCUGGGAAAAUAGGUAGGUGCCGGCU